rnacentral:lncRNA from 1 species
GUAGAAACACAGGUUUGCCAGAUGUGUUCCGUGUUUGGAGAUGUCUGUUAAAAGCCACUGUCUUUGCCUGAAGCUUCAAGGUGUCAGGAUGAGUAUUUGUUGCCACUAAGGCUGCCAGAAGCAUGAAGAACAGUUAUAGCAAGUGUCUCACUCAAUCUAUGUGGCUGGAGUGUGCCCAGAAUGCACGGGAGCAUGGAAAUGCAUGGAAACUUCAUAUAACAAACUCUAACAACUCCUCACUGAAUGUAUGUGAAGAAAGACUUAUUUUCAAAGCACUGAAAUUGGCCACAUCUCAGCAUCUGUUUCUAUAGCAACUGCUAAAAGCACAACCC